rnacentral:miRNA from 1 species
GCUGGUCAAACGGAACCAAGCC